rnacentral:rRNA from 1 species
CGGCAGGCCUUAUACAUGCAAGUCGAGGGGCAGCAUUUACUUCGGUAAAUGGCGACCGGCGCACGGGUGAGUAACGCGUAUGCAACCUACCUUUAACUGGGGCAUAGCUCGAGGAAACUCGAAUUAAUUCCCCAUAGUACAUUAUAAUAUCUCAUGAUAUAAAUGUUAAAGAUUUAUCGGUUAAAGAUGGGCAUGCGUCUGAUUAGUUUGUUGGUAAGGUAACGGCUUACCAAGACUACGAUCAGUAGGGGGUCUGAGAGGAUGAUCCCCCACACUGGUACUGAGACACGGACCAGACAUCUACGGAUGGCAGCAGUAAGGAAUAUUGGGCAAUGGGCGCAAGCCUGACCCAGCCAUGCCGCGUGCAGGAUGACGACCCUAUGGGUUGUAAACUGCUUUUAUAUAGGAAGAAAAUACUCUUGCGAGAGGAUCUGACGGUACUAUAUGAAUAAGGACCGG